rnacentral:lncRNA from 1 species
CUCUCCAAGGGCCACUGCCGUUGCGAUCCUACCGAUCGUGCCCUCCAUGACAGCGACUGCACUUGCUCACUCUGCCCUCCUUGAUGCUGCCACUCACCAGCUCCAAGCCCAUUCCAUCGUCAUCGAUACCUAGUACUCCUCCGGCCAUGCCUCACAAUUAUCCCUCUGCUGGCUCGUCCGCCAUGCUCCCCCUCAACCCCGCACUAGCUGGACGGCAAAGCCCCAGGAGACGGCCACGGUCCAGAGGUGGCUGGCUUUGUAGCAAAUGAACUACUAGAAGAUGGCUAUAGAGCCGAGGCGGACGGGGCCGUCAAAGAUGCGGCGAAGGGCAGGGGUGCGAGAGGGGGCAUUGGGAAAGAUGGGCUCGACGACAUCGAGGUGGUGGAGGGAGAUAAGCAGGGCCAUGGGGUGUGCGGCGAGGAGGCCUAGCAAGUCGUCGUAGACAUCAAACUGGUGGGAGCCCAGGUGACGGAUGAGGGG